rnacentral:rRNA from 1 species
GACGAACGCUGGCGGCGUGCCUAAUACAUGCAAGUAGAACGCACAGUUUAUACCGUAGCUUGCUACACCAUAGACUGUGAGUUGCGAACGGGUGAGUAACGCGUAGGUAACCUGCCUGGUAGCGGGGGAUAACUAUUGGAAACGAUAGCUAAUACCGCAUAAUAUUAAUUAUUGCAUGAUAAUUAAUUGAAAGGUGCAAUUGCACCACUACCAGAUGGACCUGCGUUGUAUUAGCUAGUAGGUGAGGUAACGGCUCACCUAGGCGACGAUACAUAGCCGACCUGAGAGGGUGAUCGGCCACACUGGGACUGAGACACGGCCCAGACUCCUGCGGGAGGCAGCAGUAGGGAAUCUUCGGCAAUGGACGAAAGUCUGACCGAGCAACGCCGCGUGAGUGAAGAAGGUUUUCGGAUCGUAAAGCUCUGUUGUAAGAGAAGAACGGGUGUGAGAGUGGAAAGUUCACACUGUGACGGUAUCUUACCAGAAAGGGACGGCUAACUACGU